AUUGAACGCUGGCGGCAUGCUUUACACAUGCAAGUCGAACGGCAGCGCGGGCUUCGGCCUGGCGGCGAGUGGCGAACGGGUGAGUAAUACAUCGGAACGUGCCCAGUAGUGGGGGAUAGCUCGGCGAAAGCCGGAUUAAUACCGCAUACGACCUGAGGGUGAAAGCGGGGGAUCUUCGGACCUCGCGCUAUUGGGGCGGCCGAUGGCAGAUUAGCUAGUUGGUGGGGUAAAGGCCUACCAAGGCGACGAUCUGUAGCUGGUCUGAGAGGACGACCAGCCACACUGGGACUGAGACACGGCCCAGACUCCUACGGGAGGCAGCAGUGGGGAAUUUUGGACAAUGGGCGAAAGCCUGAUCCAGCAAUGCCGCGUGUGUGAUGAAGGCCUUCGGGUUGUAAAGCACUUUUGGCGGGAACGAAAAGGACUGUGCCAAUACCACGGUUCGAUGACGGUACCCGCAGAAUAAGCACCGGCUAACUACGUG
rnacentral:rRNA from 1 species